GAGGAAUAUUGGGCAAUGGACGAAAGUCUGACCCAGCCAUGCCGCGUGCAGGAAGACGGCCCUAUGGGUUGUAAACUGCUUUUAUAUAGGAAGAAACCCAUCUACG
rnacentral:rRNA from 1 species